UAGGGAAUCUUCCGCAAUGGGCGAAAGCUUGACGGAGCAACGCCGCGUGAGUGAUGAAGGUCUUCGGAUCGUAAAACUCUGUUAUUAGGGAAGAACAAAUGUGUAAGUAACUAUGCACGUCUUGACGUUACCUAAUCAGAAAGCCACGGCUAACUACGUGCCAGCAGCCGCGGUAAUACGUAGGUGGCAAGCGUUAUCCGGAAUUAUUGGGCGUAAAGCGCGCGUAGGCGGUUUUUUAAUUCUGAUGUGAAAGCCCACGGCUCAACCGUGGAGGGUCAUUGGAAACUGGAAAACUUGAGUGCAGAAGAGGAAAGUGGAAUUCCAUGUGUAGCGGUGAAAUGCGCAGAGAUAUGGAGGAACACCAGUGGCGAAGGCGACUUUCUGGUCUGUAACUGACGCUGAUGUGCGAAAGCGUGGGGAUCAAACAGG
rnacentral:rRNA from 1 species